CUCUUCCCUCAAGACCAGGGAACUUCACUCCUCACUCCUUAAGUAGAAGCUAUGCAUAUAAUUUCCUUCCAAAGUGUGGAAAGGGGAAAAAAAAGAGUCAUUUUGCAGCAGAGAAACGUGACAAACAUCCCCUCAGCCAGGAGAUCAAGAUCAAGGUCAACAGUGAUAAGUUAUGUCGAUAGUGCGUAGCCUUGAUAUGAUGCAAUGAAAAUGACACUUCACCUCUGUGAUCUUCCUCCCCAAAAUUCACAACCACAUAUAACCAUGAGGAGAAAGAUCAGACAUGUCCCAACUGAGGGAUGGCCUACAAAAUACCUAGCACUCCUCAAAACCAUCAAGGCCAUCAAAAACAAGAAGGGUCACAGAAGGUGCCAUAGCCAUGAAGAGCCUAAGGAGACAUGAUGACUAAACGUAACGUGGCAUUCUGGAGAGGACCCUGGAACAGAAAUAGACAUUAACUGUAAACUAAGGAAAUCUGAAUAAAGUAUGGACUUUAGUUAAUAUGAAUGCACCAAUAUCGGUUCAUGGAGUGUAGCAAAUGGACUACAGUGGUAUGUUAAUAACAGGGAACUGGGAAAGGAAUAUGUGCAAGCUCUAGCUCCCCAAUUUUGCUGUAAAUCUAAAAUCCUUUUAAGAUGAAAGAGUUUUUAAGAAUAUAAUUUUAAAAGUACCCUUUGAUUAUUUUCUCUAAGCACUGAUCGUUCCACCUUGUGUUGAAAGGAUUUAUCUUUGCUUUCACUGGACUUUCUUGGCUUCCUUUUAUCAUAGCCUUAACCACAGGCUACAGUAUAAUUGUUGAAAAGGCACCCAUGCCCUUGUCAUGAGUCUGUGCCUCUAAGGCAUUGCUGCCUACAUGUUUGAGAUUUCUUUGGCCAGACAUGUCUUUAUACGUCUAUUCUAAUUUGUGGUUCUCAGCCUUCCCUCUGCCAAGAUAGCUCUGUGGAGAACCACUGCUGUGUGCUCCUCCCCCAUGGCUGUCCUCUGUGUUUCUGGGACUUCCUACCAGCCCCACUCACUCCAGUUCUGCUUUAUACUCCUACUUUGGUAAGCUAGGUGAUUUUUCAUUUCAAAAACUUCAGUAAAGAGUUCUCUCCUUUAUUUCUUGCAAACAGUUUUAUCUCACAGCUACUCAAGAACAGAAGGGAGGCUUGGCGUGGUGGCACAUGCCUGUGAUCCUAGCACUUUGGGAGGCAGAGGGAGGGAGAUUGCUUGAGCCCAGGAGUUCCAGACCAGCCGAGGUAACAUGGUGAAACCCUGUCUAUACAAAGAUGAAAAAAAAAACAAAAACAUUAGCCCAGUGUGGUGGCAGGCACCUAUAGUCUCAGCUACCCAGGAGGCUGAGGUGGGAGGAUCACUUGAGCCCAGGAGGUCAAAGCUACAGUGAGCUGUGAUCGUUCCACUGCACUCCAGCAUGAGCAACAGAGUAAGACCCUGUCUCAAAAUAAAACAAAACCUAAAACCAAAAAACAGAAGGCAGAGAAGAGUGGCCACUGUAAAAGGUUGUUUAUUUCCAGGGAUAAUAUUAAAAAAUGCAUAACAAGCAGGACAUUGACCAAUCUGACCACCAGUGGGAGGUAAAUAAUUGGUAAGGGGCUUAUUGGUUGAAUACCAGCCCUGCUUAUUCUUCCCCUACCUCUAUUUAACCAGAGAACUUAAAGGAGGAGAUAUGGAGAGGGAAAGAGAAAAUUCUUCAUUCUUACUGUGCCUGCCAUGCUGCGAGUAAUGGAGACACUGAGGCACCCAAGAGACAAAACUAGAGUUCCCAUCAGCUGCUCAGCCCCUCUCAGAACUUUGAGAAGGAAACAAGAUGGAAGCUCCUCCACCUUGGAUUAAUUUGCUCAAGGUGUUCUCCUAAGAUUAUGACUUAUACUCCUUGGAAAUUUGUGUAAUUGAUGCCUUUGGAAAAUAUGUCCAAGACUCACCUUUCACUCUGUUCCGGAAUGAAGGCUGAAUCCAGAGAAGCUCACCCUGCUCCCUUCUCCAACGUGACACAGAAUAAAGAGGGUCAGAGUACAGGUCUUUUAUUGUUUUAACCUGAACCCUGGAAGCCAAAGCCUGCACAGGCUUAUCUUCCACAAGUAUGGGUCAAUCACUUUGACCUAUUGACUCUGCAUCUGGUCAAGCACUCCAGAACGCCAUGGACAGCUAUAGGAUUCCCCAAUGAGCAAAUGUUGACUUACCCUGUGGGUCUCCUGACACUAUUAUAAAGUCUAUUCCAUCAGAGACUAAGUUGUUAAAAAAAUGAAGAACUUGGUUUUAGUUUAUUGUCUGUUGUUCAAGGAGUAUUUAUGCAAAAUUGCAAUAUUACUACUCCACAUGAACCAAUCAAUAUACUGCCACUUUCAAAAGUUAAAAGUGGGAAAAAAGAUGGUCUUUGUUUUAGAAUGUGCUAAUAUCUUAUUCUUUUCUUUCAAUUUUCUGUUAUAUGCUUAAGAAGCUCUUGUACUCUCCCUUAAUUUUGCUAUAAAAUAUUCUUUACAUUAAAUAUUAUAACAAAGACAAAAAUUAAUUUGGUCUGCAUAAUACCUUCUCUCUCAACCUAAGUGUCCCUCAACAGAUGAUUGGAUAAAGAAAAUGUGAUAUAUAUAUGUAUAUAUAUAAAUAUAUGUAUAUUUGACUUUCAAUGUCCUUGUUAUGCAUACACACACACACUCACACAAACAAACCAUGGAGUACUACUCAGCCAUAAAAAAGAAUGAAAUCAUGCCUUUUGCAGUAACACAGGUAGAACUGGAGGACAUUAUCCUAAGUGAAAUGACUCAGAAACAGAAAGUCAAACACUGUGUGUUCUUACUUAUAAAUAGGAGCUAAAUAAUGUUUACAGAUGAACAUGGAGUACAGAAUAAUAGUUACUGGAGACUCUGAAAGGUGGGAGGGUCGGGGGGUGAGGGAAGAGAAAUUACUUAAUGGGUACAGUGUACAUUAUUCAGGUGAAGGUUACAGUGAAAGCCCAGACUUCAUCACUACAUAAUAUAUCCAUGUAACAAAACUACACUUGUACUUUUUACAUUUAUACAAAUUAAAAAAAAGAUUUCAAAUGAUUUUUAAAUGAAUUACAUAUAUACCCUAACUUGUUUAUUUUCUUUUUCCUUCCAAUGUUUGAAAAAAUGUUUUUGUAUAAUACAAACACAUUUCCAACAUUAAAUAUCCUUAAAACUUUAAAGUUGAAGACAAAAAUAUAAUAACGAUAAGCAAAGACAAUGUUUGAUCCAAAUAACACAUAUUACAUCUUUUAAAUGAAGGUGUUUUUCAUUCUGAUUUGUGCAACUGGUUUACUAGGUUUUCCAGUAUUUCUGCCGCUUGACUGUAUCUGCUGACUAAAGUUAAUUCUGUUAAUGGUUAUUAUCCUAUAGGUUUUUUUUUUUUGUAGUUUCUAAAUUGGUUUAAUUUGGAGAAAGAACAUUUGCUGUAGAUAAAAUAACAAUGAAAGAACAUAUUUUAGUAAAACUUACGUACAUGCCACUCUAUGUUAUAAUAAAUGUUUCAUCUGAUUUUCAGAUUGUUGUAAUCUUUUCACUAUCACUUGUUCAUGAGUUUAUGCAAAGCAGUAAUACUUUGAUAAAUGAUUCUUUACACACUCGAAAAUUUUUUGUGCCUUCGGAGUGUUUAUCAUAAUGAAACUUUUAAAUAACUAUUUUAUUAAAGGCGAAUUCAACUGAAGAAUAGUUUUGCUUAUGUUGAGUUGCAUUUUGCAAUAUUGUCAUGAUAAUGACUUGAUGAGGCUUUGCUUUUCUGAUUAUUUUGAAUUAGAAAAUAUUUGCUUAUGUUUUCAAAAAGUUUUAAACUGCCCCUGAAUCACUCUCUUUUAAUAAAGUUUUUAAAAGCUGUUUUUAUUAAAGUAUGGUCCAUACAGAAAAUGCACAAAUCGUAAGAGUACAGCUCAGUGAAUUAUAACAAAUUGAAUGCCCCAAUGAACAACCAUGAAGGUCAAGGUAAAAAAUAUUACCAGCACACCCAAAUUUCUCAUCGUGCCCAUUCCAAUGACUACAUUCUCUUUCCUCAAAACUUCCCCUCUUCUGAAAAAACAAAACAAAACAACAACAACAAAAACCCACAACUGUCCUGACUUGUAACACUUUAGUUUUUUCUGUCUGUAUUUUAUAUGAAUGGAAUCAUACUAUAUAAUCUCUUUCAUGCCUGACUUCUUCACUGGACCUAAUGUUUGUAAAAUGCAUUUGUAUCACGAGUGUAGGUAAUUGCAUUUAUUAUCUUUAUUUUAAUUUCAUUGUAUGACUGUACCACAAGUAAGCUAUCUAUUCUACUAUUGAUAGACGUUUUGGUUAUUUUCAGGUUGGGGCUUGUGAUGGUUAAUUUUAUGUGUCAACUUGACUGAGCUAUAGAGUACCCAGAUAUUUUGUUAAACACUAUUCUGGGCAUUCCUGGAUGAGAUUUACAUUGCAUCAUUAGGCUGAGUAAAGCAGAUUGCCCUCCCUAAUGUGGGUGGCCCUCAUGUAAUCAGUUGAAGGCCUGAAUAGAAAAAAAAGGCUGAUCCUCCCCUGGCUAAGUGAUAAUUCCUCCUGCCUACUGGUCUUCAAAUUGAGAGGUUGGCUUUUUCCUGCCUUUGGACUUGAACUGAAACAUCGACUCUUCCUGGGUCUUGAGCCUGCCAACCUUUUAAGUGGAACUGCACCAUUGGCUCUCUGGGUCUCAGGCCUUCAGACUCAGACUGGAACUUGCACCAUUGGCUCUCCUGAGUCUCCAGCUUGCCUAGGGCGGAUUUAGGACUUGUCAGCCUCCAUAAUUGCAUGAGCCAAUUUCUUAUAAUAAAACUCCUUCUAUAUAUACAAAUCCUAUUGGUUCUAUUUCUCUGGGGAACUCUGACUAAUUCAGGGCUCUUAUUAAUAAUAGUACUGUGAGCAUUUUUUUUUUUUUCCAGACAGAGUCUCACUUUGUUGCAUAGGCUGGAGUACAAUGGUGUGACCUUGGCUCACUGCAACCUCCGCUUCCCGGGUUCAAGCAAUCCUCCCACCUCAGCCUCCUGAGUAGCUGGGACUACAGGAGCAUGCCAGCACACCUGGCUAAUUUUUAUAUUUUUAGCAGAAAUGGUUUUUCACCAGGUUGGCCAGGUUGGUCUCAGACUCCUGACCUCAGAUGAUCCACCCAACUUGGCCUCCCAGAGUGCUGGGAUUACAGGUGUGAGCCACCACGUCCAGCCCUGUGAGCAUUUUUGAACCUGUCUUUUGGUGUAUUUGAGGCAUUUUUCUUAGCUAUAUAUCUAGGAGGGGAAUAUCUAGGUUAAAAGGUAAGCAUAAGUUUGACUUUAAUAGAUACUAACAGUUUUCCAAAGUGGUUACACCAGCUCUUUUACCAUCUCCACCUUGCUCACCAGGAGAGUACGAGCGUCUUCCUUGCUCCACAUUCAGACCAGCUUUGUGUUGGUUUGGUUUGUCAGUCUUUCAAGUUUUAUCCAUUCUGUGAGGUGUGUACAGGUAUUGCAUUUUGAGUUUAAUUUGCAUUUGUCUGGUGACUAAUGAGGUUGAGACAUUUGUCUAUCUCCUGUGAAGUGUCUGUUCAAAUCUCAUUUUCUGUUGGAUUAUCUUUA
rnacentral:lncRNA from 1 species